AAUAGAUACCCUGGUAGUCCACGCCGUAAACGAUGAGUGCUAAGUGUUAGGGGGUUUCCGCCCCUUAGUGCUGCAGCUAACGCAUUAAGCACUCCGCCUGGGGAGUACGGUCGCAAGACUGAAACUCAAAGGAAUUGACGGGGGCCCGCACAAGCGGUGGAGCAUGUGGUUUAAUUCGAAGCAACGCGAAGAACCUUACCAGGUCUUGACAUCCCAUUGGCCACUAUGGAGACAUAGUUUUCCCUUCGGGGACAACGGUGACAGGUGGUGCAUGGUUGUCGUCAGCUCGUGUCGUGAGAUGUUGGGUUAAGUCCCGCAACGAGCGCAACCCUUGUUCUUAGUUGCCAUCAUUUAGUUGGGCACUCUAAGGAGACUGCCGGUGACAAACCGGAGGAAGGUGGGGAUGACGUCAAAUCAUCAUGCCCCUUAUGACCUGGGCUACACACGUGCUACAAUGGACGGUACAAACGGUUGCCAACCCGCGAGGGGGAGCUAAUCCGAUAAAACCGUUCUCAGUUCGGAUUGUAGGCUGCAACUCGCCUACAUGAAC
rnacentral:rRNA from 1 species